GCCAUCAUCAGACAGACAGGUCACCAGAGCAUGGCUAUGGAGAUGUGAAGUAACGAUGGAGACCUCAAAGUCAAAACAUGUGAUGUGUCUGUCACAUGCCCACUCAGGCAAAAGCAUGUGCCGUGUUAUUCCAUGUUUUUAUAAAGAAACCACAAUGACAUUCACUUUUAUUUCCCAUAUUUCUCAAGCUUACAUUUUGAAGAGAGAUGAGUAAAAUUAUAGGUCCAAUAAUCCCAGAACACAUUAAGUUCUUUUGUAUCUAAAUGUUAUGUACAUCUAACAUCUGAUAUGGCAUCUGAUUAUGGAUGUUUACUUCUUGCUCUUGCAGAGGACCCGGGUUCAGUUCCCAGCACCCACUCGGGGCAGCUCACAACCUGUAACUCCAGCUCUGGUCUCUACAGGUGUCUUCAUUUACCUACACACAAGACUGACAGUGGAUCUUAAAAAAAAAAUACUCGCUAGGCAGGGCAGAGGUGGUGCACACCUUUAAUCCCAGCACUCAGAAGGCAGAGGCAGAUCUCUGUGAGUUCGAGGCCAGCCUGGUCUACAGGGAGUUCCAGGAUGGCUAGGGCUAUAUUGAAAACCCUCUCUUAAAAACUAAAAUAAAAAUAAAAUAAUGAUAAUAAUAAUAAUACUUAAAGGUGCCUGCCUAUUAAUAAUGACUUUUUUCCUUUUCUUUUUUAAACCCCAACAAACACACAACUUGAUGGUCAAGAUGACAUCCUCAAUCUGGAGUUAAGGUCACCCUGGCACAUCCGUUCAUAUACCUCCCUGGCCUUCACCCAUUCACGUCUCUGCUUCCCCAGGGUAGGUAGAGCUAACAUGUGACCCUGCCCUACUCAGGACAUGUGUGCACACACAGAAUCUUUCCCCCUGUGGCAGUAUCUCACUAUGAAGUCCCAGUGCUCACUACGUAGCCCAGACUGGCUUUAGACUUCGGGGACCCUCUUUCCUCUGACUCCCAAGUGUUAAGAUUACAGGAAUGUGAACCACACCCAGCUUCUUUCCAAUGUUUUGGUGUUUGAUUCUGUAAGACAGGGUCUCCUGUAGGGUGCAGGCUGGCCCUGAACUCCUCCUGGCCAGAACCCUCUCAGUGCUGGGGAAGGUUCCCAGUGCUGGGGAAGGUUCUCAGUGCUGGGGAAGGCUCUCAGUGCUGGGGAAGGUUCUCAGUGCUGGGGAAGGUUCUCAGUGCUGGGGAAGGUUCUCAGUGCUGGGGAAGGCUCUCAGUGCUGGGGAAGGUUCUCAGUGCUGGGGAAGGUUCUCAGUGCUGGGGAAGGUUCUCAGUGCUGGGGAAGGUUCUCAGUGCUGGGGAAGGUUCUCAGUGCUGGGGAAGGUUCUCAGUGCUGGGGAAGGUUCUCAGUGCUGGGGAAGGUUCUCAGUGCUGGGGAAGGUUCUCAGUGCUGGGGAAGGUUCUCAGUGCUGGGGAAGGCUCUCAGUGCUGGGGAAGGCUCUCAGUGCUGGGGAAGGCUCUCAGUGCUGGGGAAGGUUCUCAGUGCUGCGUGCUCCUUAUGCAAGUGCUGUCCCCGCUGAGCCACAUCACACACAGAGCAAAUAGCAGCACCAUUCCAGGCCAAAGGCGGAGAUGCGUACACUGCCGUUACCCACAACCCAAAUGCUCAUCAGUGGUUCAAGGGAGGAUUUGGACAUGCCUGGCUUGCUUAUUCGUGUAACAGAGUGGUCCACACAGACGACUUAGAAAGUGACCAGCUCCAUUUUCUUCCCUGAAAUCAAAGUGCUAACAGCCCGUGCCCACGAUGUGCCUUUAAGUCUAGAACACUCUAUCUGAACAGGCCCUGCAAUGAUGUGAUGGGCACAGCGUGGGAGGCGUCCCCCAGAGGACAUUAGGGUGGCUCCUUGCCUAGUGGUGCAUCUGGAGAGCACUAGAGUGCACGGUGCAGCCGCAGGGGCAAGCACACACGCGCUGGCUGGGGCCGCCAUUCUGCUCAGCUCCUUCCCCUGAACAUGAGGCCAGCUCAGCAGAGCAGUAUUUUAGCGUCUCUGCUCAGGGGCCCAAGAGAAGUGUGACUACACAAGAAUCAACCUGGGUGAGACCAUGGCCGUGUCCCUACUGUGUAAAUGAUGGGCCACCGAAGAUCUGGACCGUCGUGUUCAUAACUCAA